rnacentral:rRNA from 1 species
GAUGAACGCUGGCGGCGUGCCUAAUACAUGCAAGUCGAGCGAACGGACGAGAAGCUUGCUUCUCUGAUGUUAGCGGCGGACGGGUGAGUAACACGUGGAUAACCUACCUAUAAGACUGGGAUAACUUCGGGAGACCGUAGCUAAUACCGGAUAAUAUUUUGAACCGCAUGGUUCAAAAGUGAAAGACGGUCUUGCUGUCACUUAUAGAUGGAUCCGCGCUGCAUUAGCUAGUUGGUAAGGUAACGGCUUACCAAGGCAACGAUGCAUAGCCGACCUGAGAGGGUGAUCGCCCACACUGGAACUGAGACACGGUCCAGACUCCUACGGGAGGCAGCAGUAGGGAAUCUUCCACAAUGGGCGAAAGCCUGACGGAGCAACGCCGCGUGAGUGAUGAAGGUCUUCGGAUCGUAAAACUCUUUUAUUAGGGAAGAACAUAUGUGUAAGUAACUGUGCACAUCUUGACGGUACCUAAUCAGAAAGCCACGGCUAACUACGUG